UUCUAUCAUUUGAAGACACACCAAAAUCAUUUGCUAGACACACCAAAAUCUCAGACAAUACAUCUGAGUGAGAGCAAAGUGAGGUAUACCAUAGACUGUGAAGAAAAAUAGAGUGUGAAAAAAUAGAGUGUGAGUGAUAUUGUAGUAAGGUGGGAAAAAUCAAAAGAGUGUUUUUCUUUGUGUGGGUGUAGUGGUCUUAGGAGUAUAUUUAUACUCGUUACUACACAGUGUAAAAUUCCUUGCUAUAGUGAUAUCAGCUGCUCCUCUUGGCCGUGGUUUUUCCCUUAUUCAGAAGGGUUUCCACGUAAAAUCUUGGUGUCAUUAUUGCUGCA